rnacentral:lncRNA from 1 species
AUAACAAAUUGAUCAGCUAUAAAAAGAUUGUGGGUGGACUCAUAUGGAGAACAGACAGCUUAGGGAUUUUAUUGUUGCUCUUGGGAGGUCGGCCAAUAUUUGAUGUCCUUCCAAUGCCAACUAGAUGUAGAUGUAGAUGAAUCAACUAAACAUUAAUAUGAAGUCGGUAAUCAUCUGACCCAAUUUAAAAUAAUGCUUCACCUGC